rnacentral:lncRNA from 1 species
UAUGUAGAUCCAAGGAAGGUUUGUUCAUGUCCCAAAGGAAGUAUACACUUGAUCUUUUCAAAGGUGCAGGUGCUUAUGGAGGCAAGACAGCAAGGAUGCCUAUGGAGGAUGGCUACAAAGUCCCACGAGAGGGGGAGAUUGAAGACAGCAAACCUUAUCAGGAUCCUAAACUCUAUAGAAAACUAGUUGGUAAAUUGAUUUACCUUACCAUAACUAGACCUGACGUUUGUUUUGCUGUGAAUCAGGUAAGUCAACACAUGCAAGUGCCUAAGGAGCAUCAUUGGCGUAUGGUGGAGAGAAUCUUGAUGUAUCUCAACGGCUUACCUGAUCAAGGAGUAUGGAUGGGUUGCAAUGGGAGCACUGAAGUGGUUGGAUACUGUGAUGCGGAUUGGGCUGGUGAUAGAGCAGACAGGAGAUCAACCACAGGCUAUUGCACAUUCAUUGGAGGAAACUUGGUUACGUGGAAGAGUAAGAAGCAGAAGGUGGUCUCUUGCUCAAGUGCAGAAGCUGAGUAUAGAGCUAUGCUGAAGCUUACCAACGAGCUGGUGUGGAUCAAAGGCAUCUUGAAGCAUUUGGAGAUUGAUCAAGCCGCGCCUAUUACAAUGCAUUGUGAUAACCAAGCAGCUAUCCACAUUGCCUCCAACUCGGUGUUUCAUGAGAGAACCAAGCACAUUGAAGUUGAUUGUCACAAGGUGAGGCAGAUGAUCAUCCUAGGAGUCAUCCUGCCAUGCUACACUCGGAGUGAAGAUCAGUUGGCUGAUGUGUUCACUAAGACUGCGAGACAAAAGACUAUGGAGUCCAUUCACAUUAGAUUGGGACUCAUAGUUCUUGGGAAGAGAAGGAGCUGAUCCCCUAAGUCAUGAGGUCUUUACUCUUUUUCCCUCAUCAAAGUUUUGUCCCAAUGGGUUUUCUUUGGUGAGGUUUUUAAUGAGGAAGAUCUCAUGGCUGUCCAAGCUUAGACUGUCACAAAGCUAAGCUUGAGGGGGAGUGUUGAGAUGUGUUGAGGUAUAUGAGAAGGCAUUGAGGAGUUAAGGACAUGAGAAAGCAAAUGAGUGAAAGGAAAGGGAUUGGAGAGUGAGCUAAGGAAUGGUACGGACGGGCCAUCCGUACACUGACCGUACCAAGGUGAAACUAGGACGGUAACUUCACCGAGUAACUCGUAUGAACCGAGGUGAAGUUACACUCGACCAAAAGCUUAUCCAGACGUUGGAGUGGAUAAGGGAGGCGCGGCUUGACAGCUAGGACAGGCUGGCAAAGGCUGGAAAGGAAGAGCAUCUUGGACUUGGAUCAGGAAGAUGCCCAAACGUGUGAGGCCAGUCAUUGGCCGGUUCAAACAAAAGCAAAGGCUCUUCCCUUGACUUCACAUGCUUGUCUACUCUUGUGUUUCGAAAAACCCUAAUGUCUAGGACUAUAUAUAAUGUAACCUCAUCAUUAAUAAAGAUCAGACAGUUCUAAACAUUCUUUCUCUUUACUCAUUUCACUAUGAUUCUCCAUUAGUCUCUAAUCAGUCUCUUAAUCUCUUAUUCUCCUUCUCUAAUCCUUUCUAAACUCAGAUUAUUCUUUACAUUCCUAAAACUCAUAUUCCGGAAGCCCUCACUCCUACUCCCGGUUAGCCUCCAUGAGCCCUCACUCCUACUCAUGGUUAGCUUCUGGAAGCUCUCACUCCUACUCCCAGUUGGCUUCCAUGAGCUCUCACUCCUACUCAUGGUUAGCCUCUCAUCAUCUCUCAUUAUCUCAUACGCCCUUCUUAUAAGCACACAGAUCUCUUCCAUUUCAGGAAGUUGUUCCCCUCUUAGAACCAUCUCCACCAGCCACCCAUAUGAAAGUUUAGAGUAAUGAAGAGUAAUCUGAGUGUUUAGAAUAGAUUUGAAAGAAAAUAGAGAGAAACUAAGGGUAGAGAACGAGUUGAGAGUAAGAGACUAAGAGUAAGCCAUGGAGGCAAAGGAUAGUCUGAACUGUCUAAGUAUUAUUAAUGACCAGAUGUUACAAUAUAUAGAGAGGUAGCUCGUGGGUUAAGGGUUUCAGAAAGCACACUAUUACAUAGGAUAAGAUUCUACUUUAAUUCAAACUGUCCAAUUAAGCUCUUCCUUGUGUGUAAAGCACCUUUACCUUUACACAGCUCCUGACAACCUGUCAUAAGCUCUUCCCUUAUCCUCUCCACACGGUAACAUAAGUAAAGGGUUAGUAAGACUUCUCCUUUACCUCUCAAGUUAACCGAGUGUAGUAACUUCCCUUAAUGAGUGAUCUUGGUCGAGUUCCUCUUGUACGGCCAUGGUACGGCCUGUACGGUCAUGGUACGGCCUGUACGGCCUAGCCUCUCCCAAACUCAUUCCUCCAACCCAUUGCUCUCCUAAGCCUCACUCUCUUAUUAACAAUCCAUCUCAUCAUCUAAUGCCUUCUUCUCAACACUCCCCCUCAAGCUUAGCUUUGUGAAAGCCUAAGCUUGGAUAGCCAUGAGAUCUUCCUCAUUAAAAACCUCACCAAAGAAAACCCAUUGGGACAAAACUUUGAUGAGGGAAAAAGAGUAAAGACCUCAUGACUUAGGGGAUCAACUCCUUCUCUUCCCAAGAUCUAUGAGUCCCAAUCUGAUAUGAAUGGACUCCAUAGUCUUUUGUCUCGCAGCCUUAGUGAACACAUCAGCCAACUGAUCUUCACUCCGAGUGUAGCAUGGCAGGAUGACUCCUAGGAUGAUCAUCUGCCUCACCUUGUGACAAUCAACUUCAAUGUGCUUGGUUCUCUCAUGGAACACCGACUUGGAGGCAAUGUGGAUAGCUGCUUGGUUAUCACAAUGCAUUGUCAUAGGCGCAGCUUGAUCAAUCUCCAAAUGCUUCAAGAUACCUUUGAUCCACACCAACUCGUUGGUAAGCUUCGGCAUAGCUCUAUACUCAACUUCUGCACUUGAGCAAGAGACCACCUUCUGCUUCUUACUCUUCCACGUAACCAAGUUGCCUCCAAUGAAUGUGCAAUAGCCUGUGGUUGAUCUCCUGUCUGCUCUAUCACCAGCCCAAUCCGCAUCACAGUAUCCAACCACUUCAGUGCUUCCAUUGCAACCCAUCCAUACUCCUUGAUCAGGUGAGCCGUUGAGAUACAUUAAGAUUCUCUCCACCAUACGCCAAUGAUGCUCCUUAGGCACUUGCAUGUGUUGACUCACCUGAUUCACAGCAAAACAAAUGUCAGGUCUAGUUAUGGUAAGGUAAAUCAAUUUACCAACUAGUUUUCUAUAGAGUUUAGGAUCCUGAUAAGGUUUGUUGUCUUCAAUCUCCCCCUCUCGUGGGACUUUGUAGCCAUCCUCCGUAGGCAUCCUUGCUGUCUUGCCUCCAUAAGCACCUGCACCUUUCAAAAGAUCAAGUGUAUACUUCCUUUGAGACAUGAAUAAACCUUCCUUGGAUCUACAUAUCUCAAUUCGAAGGAAGUAUUUCAUUUCUCCCAAGUCUUUAAUCUCAAACAUGGACUUAAGAAACUCCUUGGUUGCUAUGAUACCUUCCUUAUCACUUCCUGUGAUAAUGAUAUCAUCAACAUACACAAGGAGUGCAAUCAUACCUGAGGGAGUAGUGAGAGUGAAGAGGGUGUGAUCCAACUCAGACUUCUUGAAGCCUCGGCCAUUCAGAGUAGUGCUUAGCUUGUUGUACCAAGCUCUUGGUGAUUGUUUCAACCCAUAGAUAGCUUUCUUCAGUCUCAACACAUUCCCUCUCUUCACCAAGUGUUCCAAACCUGGAGGUGGAUGCAUAUACACUUCAUCCUCAAGUUCUCCUUGUAGAAAAGCAUUCUUCACAUCCAUUUGCCAUAAGCCCCAUCCAAGGUUUACAGCCAAGCUUAAUACAAUCCGGAUUGUGUGUAGUUUGGCUACUGGUGCAAAGGUCUCAAUGUAAUCUUCUCCAUAAGUUUGAGUAAAACCUCUUGCAACCAGUCUUGACUUCUUCCUCUCAAUCUUUCCAUCAGCCUUAUACUUGAUUGUGAAGAUCCAUCUACUAGUAACUGCCUUUUUUCCUUUUGGUAACUCACUCGCAUACCAUGUAUCAUUCUUGAUCAUAGCUCCUGCCUCAGCUCCAACUGAUUCCUUCCACUCUUUAUCCAUCAUUGCCUCUUCAUAGCUUCUUGGAAUGUAGUUCUCAUCCAAGUUUACCAUAAAAGCACAAUGUUCUUCAGGGUAUUGAGCAAAGGAACACACAGCUUGAGAAGGAUGCUCCACAGCCUGGGCAUUGUAGUACACUCUCGUUCUUACCCAGUUGGAAGCAUCUCUCCUAAUCCGUGUGCUUCUUCUCAAUGCUGGUUCCGGUUGUUCCACUUCCACUUGUGAUUCUUCUCCACUUUCUUGUGGUACAGAAGUAGACACUUCAACUGCCUCUUCUUCUCCUAGCUGACUUUCUUCAGCUCCAUCUUGCUGUUCACUUACUUCCACAUCUUGAUCAUGUGUACCAGAUACUCCACUACUCUCUUGAGUUGUCUCUGGUUCACUCCUUUCCCCCCCAUGAUCAGAAGUGGGAGUUGCUGAACUUCCACCAUUCGGUGGUUGAGAUCCUGGGUUACUGCCAGGUCCUUGCUGAUCUUGUCUCACCUUGAUCCCAAUACUUUCUAAGAUGAUCCGCAAGGUAGUGGCUCUCUCCGAGGUAAGAUCCUUCAAGUCUUCUUUGUUUUGCUCCUCAUAGUAUCCUCUCUCUUCAACAAACUUCACAUCCCUUGAUACCAGCACCCUUCUUGUGUCUGGAUCAUAACACUUGUAUCCCUUUUGAGUUGUAGAGUAGCCAAUAAACAUUGCCUUUGUACUCCUAGCUGCAAGCUUGUUUCUCAACUCCCCGGGUAUUAAAACAUAACAUAAACACCCAAAGAUCCUUAUAUGUUCUAAUGAGGGUUUAUGUUUGUUGAGAACCUCAAAUGGUGACUGUCGUUUCAGGAUCAGUGUGGGAGUCCUGUUGAUUAGAUAGCAGGCCGUGGCUACUGCAUCACUCCAAAACUUCUUAGGUACAUUAGCUUGAAACAUCAUUGAUCUUGCAACUUCCAUAAGGUGUCUAUUCUUCCUCUCAGCCACACCAUUCUGUUGUGGAGUGUAGGGACAACUUGUUUGAUGAAGAAUUCCAUACUGAGAUAAAUGUUGCUUGAAAGCUUGUCCAAUGUAUUCUCCUCCAUUAUCUAACCUGAAAAUCUUAAUCUUGGCUUGAUAAUGGUUAGUUACAUAGGAUUGAAAGUUUUUAAAUGCAUCAAGCACCCUAUCUUUAGUUGGAAUUAAGGUUAACCAGGUGUAUUUAGAUUUUUCAUCAAUGAAUGAGACAUAAUACUUAUGGUUCUCUCUAGAUAAACAAGGAGCAGUCCAUACAUCAGAGUGAAUAAGAUCAAAGCAAUUCUCAUAAACCGUAGAUGAGUUGGGAAAUACAGUUCUACAAUGCUUGCCUAAAAUACAAGCUUCACAAUCAUUGUUUUCAAAAGAAACACCUGGCAACAUCAGUUUUAAGGCCUUAUUAUGAGGGUGUCCUAGUCUAGCAUGCCACAAUGCAUUCUUAUUUAAACUAGGAACAGAAGCAGUCGUAAAAGAGCAGCUAAUGUCAGAAACAGGAGCAAGAUCUUCAAGCAAAUAUAAGUCUCCUUUUGUUACUCCUUUUCCAAUCACUUUGCUGCUUUCAAUAUCCUGAAACUUCACAUCAUUAGGACUAAAUAUGACAUUGCAUUGCAAGUCUGUUGCACAUUUCUUGACAGGUAAUAGGUUUGAAGUAAAGUCAGACAUAUAGAAAGCUUUUGAAUCCUUACUAAACAGUUUAAGUGUUCCUAUUCCUUUAAUUGGAACCUUAUCACCAUUUGCAAUCAUCACAUGACCUUUAGUAGGCACAAUGUUCUUAAUCAACUUAGUAUCACUAAUCAUGUGAUGUGAUGCACCUGAAUCUACAAUGAGAGGUCUAGUUGAUUGAUUACUAGCAAGGUGAGCGAGUAUACUAGAUGGCUUAUAUGCAUAAUCAGUUUCAUUGUAUCCAUUCACAUUUCUUAGAGAACUAGCCAUUCUAUCAGUUCUAGUGAUGCAAUCUGAGUCUCCAAUAGUCCUAGCAAUCAUGGAAGCACCAUAAGAAUAACCAUAGAUGUUACCGUUAUCCUUGAACAUCUUGAUGAGUGCAUCAAUAUCUGACUUCCUUAUGAAGUCCUGAUCAUUGUUGCGGCUGCUAGGAGCUCCCAUGUAGGCCACCAGAGACUUGUCAUCACUUGUACCACCUUCUUGAGCCUUACUAGUACCCGCACCACUUGAUCCUUCAGACAUAUGAGCUCGUGCUUCCCGUUCCUUCAUGAACUUAGCCGGUUUGAGGUGUGGGUGAAGUAUCCAACACUGGCUCUUCUUGUGGCCAUGCUUCUUGCAAUGAUCACAGCUCCCAUUGAACCUCCUGUCCUAAUACUUCCCAUGUGCAGCCUUGUUAGCUUGCGGUGUCUCUCCUUGUUCAGCUUGUGUCGCUUGAUUAGCUAAGGCCAGCUCUCCCUUCUUCCCAAACAAGCCAAUCGACCCUUGUUCUUUCUGGAUCCGAGAGCACACUUCUUCCAAGUCAGGUAGUGUCUCAUCCCUCAGCAUGUGUUGUAUGAGCCCAUUGUACACCGGAUUCAGUGUCAAGAGUAGUCCAAAGACCUUGUCCUGCUCGCUUCUCUUGUUUAGCUCAUUGGGAUCAACCGUGCUUGGCCUCAGCAUCUCUAGCUCGGACCAAAGUGACCUAAACCGUCCUAGGUGCUUGGUAAACUCCAUGUCUUCCUGAACCAAGUUGUUAAUCGCCUGCUUCACCUCAAAGACUCUACUCAAGUUAGAUGUGUUUCCAUACACUUUCUUCAAGGUGUCCCACAGCUCCUUUGCUGUCUCACAGUAACUGUAUGCAUUCAGAAUCUCCGGCUCUAAGGAGGCAUGAAGAACUGACAUCACCAUCAUGUCUUCUUGUUGCCAUUUCUCAACCGGAUGUCUUGAUGCUUCAUCCUUGUCUUCUUCUUGAGCAAUCAGCUUUGGGGCCUCACCUGAUGUAAUGUGUCCCCAUAAGCCCUUGCUCCCAACUGCGGUCCUCACCAUUCGUGACCACACUAGGUAGUUGUUCCCCUUGAACACAACCGCCACCUUCAUCUUCAUCCCACUAUCCAUCUUGAAGCAGCUUGACGUGAACAGCUUGCCAAAUCUUGGACUGAGACUAGAAACUACACACGGAAAUAGACUGGAUCUUCUUUAACUGACUAGCUUAAAUCACCAAACCCGCAAGCACUCAAGUAACACUCUUGAUGUUUCUUGAUGUUUACGUUUCAAUCAACCCCCUUUAUGAACACGCAAGCCACAAAGAGUAAUAACCCAACACACGGAACCAGGACUCUCAAUAGAAACUAUCAGUGAACUCAACCAGACACACCUUCUCGGACUAGGACUCAACCGGAGAAGACUUGAAGUUUUGAAUCUUGACGCCCAGCUCCAAUCUUCAACCUUGUGUUCUAGCAGAUCUCACCAAGAACUCAGAUUCUCAUGAACCUGGCUCUGAUACCAUGAAAGUUUAGAGUAAUGAAGAGUAAUCUGAGUGUUUAGAAUAGAUUUGAAAGAGACUAGAGAGAAACUAAGGGUAGAGAACGAGUUGAGAGUAAGAGACUAAGAGUAAGCCAUGGAGGCAAAGGAUAGUCUGAACUGUCUAAGUAUUAUUAAUGACCAGAUGUUACAAUAUAUAGAGAGGCAGCUCGUGGGUUAAGGGUUUCAGAAAGCACACUAUUACAUAGGAUAAGAUUCUACUUUAAUUCAAACUGUCCAAUUAAGCUCUUCCUUGUGUGUAAAGCACCUUUACCUUUACACAGCUCCUGACUAUAAUAUUUAGAGAUCCUUAGAGUGAUUAGAAUAUAAGUGAGAGUUUAAGUAGAGAUUAGAAGAGAUUGUGAACGAUUAAGAGACUUGAGAGCCGAAUAGUGUCUAAGAGAGAAUCAUUGUGACUUAAGAGAUUAGAGAGACUCAGAACUGCUUAAUCUUAUUGCUGAGUGAGGUUACAUAUUUAUAAGAGAGACAUAAGGGUUUACAAGAGAAGAAAGGAGCACUAUUGAAGCAUGUGGAGUCAAGGGUCGCUUUUGAAUGGACGGAUGGGAAGCCUUACAUGCUUUGGCUCUUUACAGCCUGUCACAGCCUGUCUUGCUCUUCCCUUAUCCACUCAACGGUCUGAUUCUCUCCACUAAGCCCUCAAGGUAACAUCUGCUUGUUACCGUUUCACUUGGUCAAGGUUAGGUAACCUUUGGUCGAGACAUUUGGUACGGACGGUACGGCCAUAUACGGCCUUGUACGGACGUCUGUACCAUGCUUGCCCAAAGUCCCCUCAUUCUCUUCCUCCUCUUCUCUUCCACUUCUUAUCUCUUCAUGUUCAUAUCUUCAACUCAUCUCAACACUCCCCCUCAAGCUUAGCUUUGUGAAAGUUUAAGCUUGGACAGCCAUGAGAUCUUCCUCAUUAAAAAACUCACUAAGGAAAACCCAUUAGGACAAAACCUUAAUGAGGGAAAAAGAGUAAAGAUCUCAUGACUAAGAGGAUCAGCUGCUUCUCUUCCCAAGAUCAAUGAGGCCCAAUCUAAUAUGAAUGGACUCCAUUGUCUUUUGCCUUGCAGCCUUGGUGAAUACAUCAGCCAACUGAUCUUCACUCCUAGUAUAACAUGGCAAGAUGACUCCUAGAACAAUCAUCUGCCUCACCUUGUGGCAAUCAACCUCAAUGUGCUUUGUCCUCUCAUGGAACACCGAGUUGGAGGCUAUGUGAAUGGCGGCCUGGUUGUCACAAUGCAUUGUCAUUGGAGUGUCUUGUUUUAUCUCCAAAUGCUUCAAGAUGCCCUUGAUCCAAACUAGCUCGUUUGAAAGCUUCAGCAUAGCUCUAUACUCAGCUUCUGCACUUGAGCAUGACACCACCUUCUAUUUCUUACUCUUCCAAGUCACCAAGUUGCCUCCAAUGAAUGUGCAAUAGCCGGUUGUUGAUCUCCUGUCAGCUCUAUCACCUGCCCAAUCUGCAUCACAAUAGCCCACCACUUCUGUGCUUCCAUUUCACCCUAUCCAUACUCCUUGAUCCGGCGAGCCAUUCAGAUACAUUAGCAGCCUCUCCACCAUAUGCCAAUGAUGUUCCUUGGGAAGCUGCAUGUGUUGACUCACCUGAUUUACAGCAAAGCAUAUAUCAGGCCUUGUGAUGGUAAGAUAAAUCAAUUUGCCAACAAGUUUUCUAUAGAGUUUAGGAUCAUGAAAUGGCUUGCUGUCUUCAAUCUCCCCCUCUCUUGGUACUUUGUAGCCAUCCUCCAUUGGCAUCCUUGCUGUCUUGCCUCCAUAAGCACCUGCACCUUUCAAAAGAUCAAGUGUAUACUUUCUUUGGGACAUGAAUAACCCUUCCUUGGAUCUACAAAUCUCAAUUCCAAGAAAGUAUUUCAUUUCUCCCAAAUCUUUGAUUUCAAACAUGGAUUUAAGAAACUCCUUGGUUGCUUUGAUACCUUCCUUAUACCUGUGAUAAUGAUAUCAUCCACAUACACAAGGAGAGCAACCAUACCUGAGGGUGUAGUGAGGGUGAAGAGUGUGUGAUCCAACUCUGACUUCUUGAAGCCACGUCCAUUCAAGGUUGUGCUCAACUUGUUGUACCACGCUCUUGGUGAUUGCUUCAAGCCAUAGAUAGCCUUCUUUAACCUCAGUACAUUCCCUUUCUUCACUAGAUGUUCUAGACCUGGUGGAGGAUACAUGUAGACUUCAUCCUCAAGCUCUCCUUGUAAGAAUGCAUUCUUUACAUCCAUUUGCCACAAUGCCCAUCCAAGAUUAACCGCCAAGCUUAGAACAAUCCUAAUGGUGUGUAGCUUAGCUACAGGGGCAAAUGUCUCAAUAUAAUCCUCCCCAUAUGUCUGAGUGAACCCUCUUGCCACUAAUCUAGUCUUCUUCCUCUCAAUCUGCCCAUCAGCCUUGUAUUUGAUUGUGAAGAUCCAUCUACUAGACACUGCCUUCUUCCCUUUUGGUAGUUCACUCUCAUACCAUGUAUCAUUCUUUAUCAUAGCUCCUGCCUCAGCUCCUACUGAUUCCUUCCAUUCCUUAUCCUUCAUUGCCUCUUCAUAGUCUCUUGGGAUGUGAUUCUCAUCCAAGUUUACCAUGAAAGCGCAAUGUGCUUCUGGAUAUUGAGCAAAGGAGCACACGGCUUGAGAAGGAUGCUCCACAGCUUGGGCAUUGUAGUAUACUCUCGUGUUUACCCAGCUAGAAGGAUCCUUCCUUAUCCUUGUACUCCUUCUUAGUGGCUGCACAACUGGUUCUUCUUCCUGUUGUUCUUCUACCACUUCAUCUUGAGAAGGUGUUUGUAUCACACCAUGAUCAUGCCCAUGACCAUCAGAGCCUAUGCUCUCUUCUCCUUCAUUCUCUACUUCUCCUUCUUCUUGGUUAGCCUCUUGCAUAGGCUCCUCAUGCUCCUCUCCUCCCUCAUGAUCAAGGUGGGAUGGUGAACCAACUUCAGGAGGUGUAGUUGCGUGAUCUCUCGGAUCCUGGGAUGUACUGAUUCCAAGACCUUCAAGAAUGAUCCGCAAGGUGGUGGGCUUGUCUGAUGUUAAGUCCUUCAGGUCUUCUUGAUUCUUUUCUUCAUAGUAUCCUCUAUCUUCCAAGAACUUCACAUCUCUAGAAACAAGUACUCUCCUUGCUAUAGGAUCAUAGCAUUUGUAUCCUUUCUGUGUCGCUGAGUAUCCUAUGAACAUAGCCUUAGUACUUCUUGCUUCUAGCUUGUUGCGCAUCUCUCCUGGUUUGAGCACAAAGCAUAGACAUCCAAAGACCUUCAAGUAAUCAAGAACUAGCUUGUACUUGUUCAGAACUUCAAAUGGAGCCUUCUCAUUCAGAAUCUUGGUUGGAGUUCUGUUUAUCAAGUAACAAGCAGUGGCAACCGCAUCACUCCAAAAUCUUUUUGGAACAUUACUCUGAAACAUAAGUGACCUUGCCACUUCCAUGAGGUGCCUAUUCUUCCUCUCAGCCACUCCAUUUUGCUGUGGAGUAUACGGACAGCUUGUCUGAUGUAGGAUCCCAUGUUGUGAUAAGUGUUGCUUGAAUGCAUGGCUUGUGUACUCUCCUCCAUUAUCUGAUCUCAAAAUUUUAAUCUUAGCAUGAUAAUGGUUAGUCACAUAAGUUUGAAAGUUCCUAAAUGCCUCAAGCACCCUAUCUUUGGUCUGAAUUAAGGUUAACCAGGUGUAUUUGGAGUUUUCAUCAAUGAAUGUGACAAAAUACUUAUAACUAUCUCUAGAUAAGCAAGGGGCAGUCCACACAUCUGAAUGAAUUAGAUCAAAGCAAUUAUCAUAAACUGUAGUAGACUUUUGAAACACAGUUCUACAAUGCUUGCCUAAAAUGCAAGCUUCACAAUCUUUGUUCUCAAAUACAACACCUGGUACCAUUAAGUUCAAUGCUUUAACAUGAGGGUGUCCUACUCUAGCAUGCCACAAUGCAUUUUUAUUCAACAAAGAAGCAGAAGUAAACGAGCAACUAUAAUCAGGAACAGAAGUGAGUUCUUCAAGCAUAUAGAGAUCUCCCUUAGUCACCCCUUUCCCAAUCAAUCUGCUGCUCUCAAUAUCCUGAAACUUCACAUCAUUAGGACUAAAGAUAACAUUGCAUUGUAGAUCAUUAGUACAUUUCUUCACAGAUAAUAGGUUUGAUGUGAAUUCAGGCAUGUAAAAGGCUUUAGAUUCUUUGUUAAACAACUUAAGCUUUCCUAUUCCCUUAAUAGGUAUCUUAUCUCCAUUUGCUAUCAUCACAUGUCCAUGAGUAGGUUCUAUAUCCUUAAUCAAGUUCUCAUCACUUAUCAUAUGAUGUGAUGCACCUGAAUCAACAAUCAAUGGUUUAUAUACUCUUUUAGCAUUAUGACAUAGAUUACUAAGUGAUGGAUGUGUCCUAUCAGUUCUAGCAAUGUGUGCAUUUCUAUACUCAUUCCUAGCUUCUAACCGUUCUACUAGUUCUCUAAUCAAGUGAUCAUCCUUAUAUGCAAUCAUAGAUGCUCCAAAGGAAUAACCAUAAGUGUUACCGUUUUCCUUUAGCAUUUUGAAGAGAGCAUCAAGGUCUGAUCUCUUGAUGUAGUCAUCAUUGCUGCGUGGGCUUGAGGCGCCUGUGUAAGCCACCAGAGACUUCCCAUUCCCAUCAUUGCCUCCAUGUCCAUCCACUUCACUCGUCUUGAUGGUGCCAGCUCCGCUUGACCCUUCAGUCACAUUUGCCCUUCCCUCACGCUCCUUCAUGAACUUGGCAGGCUUGAGAUGUGGGUGUAGUAUCCAGCAUUGGCUCUUCUUAUGACCAUGCUUCUUGCAAUGAUCACAGUUGCCAUUGAACUUCCUGUCCUCAUACUUCCCGUGAGAUGCCUUGUUUGCUUGUGGAGCUUCGGUUGAAUCCUCAUGAGCUGCUUGAUUGGCAAGAGAGAGCUCCCCCUUUCCUCCAACCAACCCCAUAGACCCCUGCUCCCUUUGGAUUUGCGCACACACAUCCUCAAGGUCCGGAAGCUUGUCUGCCCUCAACAUGUGCUGGAUGAGUUGAGUGUAGGCCGGGUUCAGCGUGAGGAGCAGCCCAAAGACCUUAUCUUGCUCGCGCCUCUCAUUCAACUGAUCAGGAUCAGUUGUGCUCGGCCUCAGCAUCUCCAGCUCUGACCAUAAGGACCUGAACCUCCCCAAGUGCUUAGUGAACUCCAUAUCCUCUUGCACUAGACGGUUGAUAGCUUGCUCUACUUCAAACACACGGCUGAGGUUGGAAGUGUUACCAUACACCUUCUUCAUCAUGUCCCACAGCUCUUUGGCUGAUUCACAGUAGCUGUAGGCAUCCAAGAUAGCUGGAUCCAAGGAUGCGUGUAGAACCGUCAUCACCAGCAUGUCUUCUUUUUGCCAUUUCUCUACAGCCGCUUUAAUGGAGACCUCUUGUUGAUCUCCUCCCUGAGUAAUGAGUUUCGGAGCCUCCCCUGUUGUGAUGUGCCCCCACAAACCCUUACUUCCCACCGCAUUCUUCACCAUCCGACACCACACAAGGUAGUUGCUACCUUUGAAAGUAACCGCUACCUUCAUCCUCAUGUUCAUCCCAUGUUCCAUCUUUACUCAGCUUGACUUGAACAGCUUGAAUCUGAUGAAAUCUUGAGUCUUAAAUCACGUACACACACCGAACGUAGCACAACUUCAACUAGAACGUAUCACAGCUUCAACACCUUCAAAGCUACUCGCGUGUAGCUUUAAAGCCUUCAGUUUGUAACUCUCUAAAGAUCAACCCCAGAUCCUAAUGAACCUGGCUCUGAUACCAUAUAAUAUUUAGAGAUCCUUAGAGUGAUUAGAAUAUAAGUGAGAGUUUAAGUAGAGAUUAGAAGAGAUUGUGAACGAUUAAGAGACUUGAGAGCCGAAUAGUGUCUAAGAGAGAAUCAUUGUGACUUAAGAGAUUAGAGAGACUCAGAACUGCUUAAUCUUAUUGCUGAGUGAGGUUACAUAUUUAUAAGAGAGACAUAAGGGUUUACAAGAGAAGAAAGGAGCACUAUUGAAGCAUGUGGAGUCAAGGGUCGCUUUUGAAUGGACGGAUGGGAAGCCUUACAUGCUUUGGCUCUUUACAGCCUGUCACAGCCUGUCUUGCUCUUCCCUUAUCCACUCAACGGUCUGAUCCUCUCCACUAAGCCCUCAAGGUAACAUCUGCUUGUUACCGUUUCACUUGGUCAAGGUUAGGUAACCUAUGGUCGAGACAUUUGGUACGGACGGUACGGCCAUGUACGGCCUUGUACGGACGUUCGUACCAUGCUUGUCCAAAGUCCCCUCAUUCUCUUCCUCCUCUUCUCUUCCACUUCUUAUCUCUUCAUGUUCAUAUCUUCAACUCAUCUCAACACUGACAGCCUGUCAUAAGCUCUUCCCUUAUCCUCUCCACACGGUAACAUCAGUAAAGGGUUUGUAAGACUUCUCCUUUACCUCUUAAGUUAACCGAGUGUAGUAACUUCCCUUAAUGAUUGAUCUUGGUCGAGUUCCUCUUAUACGGCCAUGGUACGGUCUGUACGGCCUAGCCUCUCCCAAACUCAUUCCUCCAACCCAUUGCUCUCCUAAGCCUCACUCUCUUAUUAACAAUCUAUCUCAUCAUCUAAUGCCUUCUUCUCAACACCAUAUGAUGACUCCAUGCUCGCCAAGAGCUUCAAGACCAUCUCUUGCUCUUGUGUAGCAUCCCCAUCCACAUGGGAUCUCAACCCUUGUAGUUCAACCCAAAAGUGUUGUAGCUUCCUCACAUGGUUAUUGAACUCUUCUCUUCCUUGUUUAACUCCACUGAUCACCUUCUUGACUUCAUACACUCUCCUAAGAUUGAUCUUGUUCUCAUAAACAUCUUCAACCUUCUCAAGCAGUGUCCUUUCUUCAAGACUAAAGCAAUUUCCACUUGUUUCUCUUGCUGUCUGAUCUUUCACAGCAGCUUUACCCUUUAAAGACUCUUCCUUCUCAUGGUUUCUCCAAACUCCACACCUCUUCAGAGUUGUUUUCAUUUGUGAGAACCACCCCCACUCAUUCCCUCACUCUUUCUUCUCUUCACGCCUUGUUGUACCAGAUUGAAGCAGCUCCAUUUUCUUUAGCCUAGAUCUUCCCUCAAAUACUUCUAAUCUCACACGCCAAGCUUAACCACAAGCUAGACCCCUCUUCUGACCUUGUCAAACACCUAAAGGGACUCCCUUGAAGCUGACUCUCCAAAAGAAACACCAACAGACACAAACUUGACUUUUAAAGGAUCUAGCUCUUGAAAAAUCUCAAGAACUCUCAAGAACACUCAAGAACACUCAAGAACAUUUAGAAAAACGAAAUCACUCUCUCCUUUUAAAGUAACCUGGCUCUGAUACCAUAUUAGAUUUUGUGAUUUAAAGAGUGAUUAAGUUUAAUCUGAGAAUUAAAGAGAUUGGAGACUAAGAACAAGAGAGAGAGAGACUCAAAACUCCAUUAAUUAAUUAUGAGAGAGUUUACAUCAGAUAUAUACUAAAGGAAGAAGCAUUUUCGAAAUCCAUCUAAGAGGAUAAGAUAAGCAUGUGUAGUCAAAGACCAGGCUGUUAAUCCCAUGGCUGAGAUUGCUCACAUGCUUCUAAUAGUGCUAAAGCACUCUUCUCCUUUCCAGCUAGUGACAGCCUGUCCAAGUCUCCUCUCUUAUCCCUUCCCAUACUCAGAUCAAGUGUAGACAACCUAAGGUAACUCCUCCUUGCCAUCUGAGUUACCCUGGUUACUAUGGUAACUUCUUUAGUUACCACAGUAACAAUAAAGUUACUGUGGUAACUCUCCAAAGUUACUGUCUGCUCCAAAUCUCUUCCUCUCUCAAUAUAUCAACUCUUUAUUCUCUCAUCUCAACAGCACCCUACUCAGGCCGUGUGUUCUUUUGCUCAAUAUCCAGAAGCACAUUGUGCAUUCAUGGUAAACUUAGAUGAGAAUCACAUUCCAAGAAGCUAUGAAGAGGCAAUGGAGGAUAAGGAAUGGAAGGAAUCAGUAGGAGCUGAGGCAGGAGCUAUGAUAGAGAAUGAUACAUGGUAUGAGAGUGAACUACCAAAAGGGAAGAAGGCAGUAUCUAGUAGAUGGAUCUUCACAAUCAAAUACAAGGCUGAUGGGCAGAUUGAGAGGAAGAAGACUAGAUUAGUAGCAAGAGGGUUCACUCCAACAUAUGGAGAGGAUUACAUUGAGACAUUUGCACCAGUAGCCAAGUUACAUACCAUUAGAAUUGUACUAAGCUUGGCAGUUGGAUGUGAAGAAUGCAUUCUUACAAGGAGAACUUUGUUGAGAUGAGGAGUAGUUAUGGAGUGUUGAAGUUACUUGGGUAGAGAAAGUUACCACAGUAAAUAUUAGUUACUGUGGUAAAAAGGGUUAAAAGGAAGUUUCCUUAGUGAAAGGAGUUACUUGAGAGUGAAAUGGGAAAAGGGAAACUUACCAGGAAGAGAGGAGUGUGCGCUGAGGUUAGGAUAAGGUCUUGGAUAAGAUGGAGAGCCUUGACAGGCUGUGACAGGCUGGAAAGGCAAAGCAUCUCAGUCAAAGAUGCCUCACACACGAUCACACUCUCAUUGGCUGAGUUUGAAAUGAGGAGCCUCUUCCCUUGACUCCACAUGCUUAGAAUAGUGAUCAAAUGGAAACCCUUGUAUCUGAUCUCUCUAUAUAUAUUGUAACCUCAUCAUUAAUAAGAUUAAGAAAGUUAUGAGUCUCUCUUAGUCUCUCUCAAAGUUUCUCUUUAGACUCUUAAUCUCAUUUUAUACUUUAAUCUUCUCUAAACUUAUUCUAAUCUUCUCUAAACACUCAGAUUACUCUUAACAUCACUAAAAGUGAUAUGGUAUCAGAGCCAGGUUAGUGAGAGCCUGAGGUCGUGUGAGAUUCUUUGAAGUUUCAAGGUUGAAGCUUUGAAGAAACUCUUGUGUGUUCUUGUGUGUUUGAGAGUUUCUGGGUACUUUUCAAGUUCAAGACUGGUUGUGGUGUGUCAUCUGAAGCUGUGUGGGUUGAAGAUCGAGGCUGUGAAGGUUUCUACAAGUCAUUCAACUCAAGAUAAAGUUUCUGAAGCUUAGAGAGUUCAUCAUUCAACAUGGAGAGUGGGAUGAACAUGAACAUGAAGGUAGCUGUGUGUUUCAAGGGAAACAACUACUUGGUGUGGUCAAGGAUGGUGAGAACCACGGUUGGAAGCAAAGGGUUGUGGAAGCAUAUCACACCCGGAGAAGCUCCAAAACUCAUCACUCAAGGAGAGGAUGAUGGUGAGUCUGCAAGCAACGCGGCUGAGAAGUGGUAUCAAGAGGACAUGCUGGUGAUGUCAGUGCUUCACGCAUCUCUUGAGCCAGCAAUCUUAGAUGCCUACAGCUACUGUGAGUCUGCUAAGGAGCUGUGGGACACACUGAAGAAGGUGUAUGGGAAUACAUCAAACUUGAGCAGGGUGUUUGAGGUGAAGCAAGCAAUCAACAACCUGGUACAAGAGGAUAUGGAGUUCACUAAGCACCUUGGGAGAUUCAGACCACUAUGGUCCGAGAUGGAGAUGUUAAGGCCAAGCACUACAGAUGCAGAUGAGCUCAACAAGAGAAGAGAGCAAGACAAGGUCUUUGGCCUACUCCUCACCCUAAACCCGGCGUAUAAUGGUCUCAUCCAACACCUGCUUAGAGAAGACACUCUACCUGAUCUUGAGGAUGUGUGUGCGCGGAUUCAGAAGGAGCAAGGCUCCAUUGGGUUGUUUGCCAAGAAAGGAGACCUUUCCCUUGCAAGCCGAGCUACUCAAGAGGAGGGGAGUGAAACUCCACAAGCAAACAAGGCUGCUGCGCAUGGGAAGUUUGAGGAGAGGAGGUUCAAUGGGAACUGUGAUCACUGCAAGAAGUAUGGCCACAAGAAGAGUCAAUGCUGGAUCCUUCACCCACACCUCAAACCGGCAAAGUUUAUGAAGGACCGUGAGGCAAGGGCUAAUGCAUCAGAUGGAACGAGUGGAGCUGGUACAAGUAAAGGAAAGGAGAUAGAUGGGCGUGAAGGAGGUGAUGGGAAGUUUCUUGUAGCCUACACUGGAGCACCAAGCAACCGUGGGAACAAUGAUCAGGAGUAUCUAAGGAGAUCUGAUCUUGAUGCCCUCAUCAAGAUAUUCAAGGAGAAUGGUAACACCUUUGGGUACUCUUUUGGUGCUAGGGCUAUAGAGAACCAUGAGGAUCUAACUAGAACUGAUAGGAUGCAUGAGAGCUUGAUAGACAUGGUAAAUCAAUCUAGGAUUGCAAACCUUGCUAGAAAUGAUCUUGCAUUCAAACCAUCUAGUAUCCUUGCGCACAUGGCCAGUAAUCAUAGCAUUAAGCCAUUAGUAGUUGACUCUGGUGCAUCUCAUCACAUGAUAAGUGAUACUAGCUUGAUUAAGAACAUUUUACCAAUGAAUGGAAAUGUGAUGAUAGCUAAUGGAGAUAGAAUACCAAUUAGAGGCAUAGGAAGUCUUAAACUGUUUAAUAAGGAAACUAAAGCCUUUUACAUGCCUGAAUUCACUUCAAAUUUACUAUCUGUUAAGAAGUGUGCUACUGAUCUACAAUGCAAUGUUAUAUUCAGUCCUAAUGAUGUGAAGUUUCAGGAUAUUAAAAGCAGCAAGAUGAUUGGAAAGGGAGUAACAAAAAGAGAACUAUAUUUGCUUGAAGAUCUUGCUCCUGUUUCUAGUUAUAGCUGCUCGUUUACUUCUGUUUCUGGUUCUAGUUUAAGUAAAAAUGCAUUGUGGCAUGCUAGAUUAGGACACCCUCAUAAUAAGGCUUUAAAACUGAUGUUGCCAGGUGUUUCCUUUGAGAAUAAUGAGUGUGAAGCUUGCAUUUUAGGCAAGCAUUGUAGAACUGUCUUUACCAAGUCUACUACUGUUUAUGAAAAAUGUUUUGAUCUUAUUCAUUCUGAUGUUUGGACUGCACCUUGCUUAUCUAGAGAAAACCACAAGUAUUAUGUAACUUUCAUUGAUGAAAAAUCCAAAUACACCUGGUUAACCUUAUUUCCAACCAAAGAUAGGGUACUUGAUGCAUUUAAAAACUUUCAAUCCUAUGUAACUAACCAUUACAAUGCCAAGAUAAAGAUUUUCAGGUCAGAUAAUGGAGGAGAGUACACGGGACAAGCAUUCAAGCUACACCUAUCUCAGCAUGGAAUACUUCAUCAGACAAGCUGUCCCUAUACACCACAACAGAAUGGUGUGGCUGAAAGGAAGAACAGGCACUUGAUGGAAGUAGCCAGGUCCAUGAUGUUUCAAUCCAAUGUGCCUAAGAAGUUUUGGAGUGAUGCAGUUGCUACAGCUUGUUAUCUCAUCAACAGGACACCAACUCUGAUCCUUCAAGGACAAUCACCAUUUGAGGUACCGAAUCAGUACAAGCCUUCACUCUAGCAUAUGAAGAUCUUUGGAUGUUUGUGUUUUGUGAUGGUGCCUGGAGAGAUAAGAAACAAGCUAGAAGCUAAGAGUUCAAAGGCAAUGUUCAUUGGAUACUCAUCAAGUCAGAAAGGAUACAAGUGCUAUGAUCCUAACACAAGGAGAGUGUUAGUAUCUAGAGAAGUGAAGUUUGUUGAAGAAAAAGGAUAUUAUGAGGAGCAGAUUCAAGAAGAUUUGAAGGAUCUUACAUCUGAUAGAGCUGAAACCUUGAGGAUUAUCCUAGAAGGGCUUGGAAUCAACAUGAAUCAAGGACAUCAGGGGGGGAGAAGCACUAAUCCAGCACCGGAUCAUCAGACUUCCAACCUUGAGCAUGAAGGGGGGAAUGAAACAAGAACUCCAAACCGUGAAGAGACAAGUAGAGAAGAGAGUUCUGGCUCUCAUGAUCAAGCUGUGGAAUCAAAUGAUCAACAAGAAGAAGCUGAAGAUAGUCAGCUAAGAGAAGAGGGAGCUGAAGCAAGUCAGCUAGGAGAAGAAAGAUCUGAAACAAGUGUGUUGCCACAAGAAGAAGAACAAGAGAUGGCACAAGAAGGGCCAAUGUUGAGAAGAAGUACAAGGCUGAGAAAGGAUCCUUCCAGUUGGGUAAACACAAGAGUGUACUACAAUGCCCAAGCUGUGGAGCAUCCUACUCAGGCCGUGUGUUCUUUCGCUCAAUAUCCAGAAGCACAUUGCGCAUUCAUGGUAAACUUGGAUGAGAAUCACAUUCCAAGAAGCUAUGAAGAGGCAAUGGAGGAUAAGGAGUGGAAGGAAUCAGUAGGAGCUGAGGCAGGAGCUAUGAUAAAGAAUGAUACAUGGUAUGAGAGUGAACUACCAAAAGGGAAGAAAGCUGUGUCUAGUAGAUGGAUCUUUACAAUCAAGUACAAGGCUGAUGGGUCGAUUGAGAGGAAGAAGACUAGACUAGUAGCAAGAGGGUUUACUCAAACAUAUGGAGAGGAUUACAUUGAGACAUUUGCACCAGUAGCCAAGCUACACACCAUUAGGAUUGUUUUAAGCUUGGCUGUGAACCUUGGAUGGGGAUUGUGGCAAAUGGAUGUAAAGAAUGCAUUUCUACAAGGAGAACUUGAGGAUGAAGUCUAUAUGUAUCCUCUAUAAGAUUUAGAGAUCCUUAGAGUAACUAGAGUAUAAGUGAGAGUUUAAGUAGAGAUUAGAAAGAGAUUGUGAAAGAUUAAGAGACUUGAGAGCUGUUUAGUGUCUAAGAGAGAAUCAUGGUGCCUUAAGAGAUUAGAGAGAGACUCAGAACUGUAUGAUCUUAUUAUGAGAUGAGGUUACAAUAUUUAUAGAAGAGGCAUUAGGGUUUACAAGUCAAGAGAAAGCAGCACUAGUCAUAAGCAUGUGAAGUCAAGCCAAAGGGGAGCGUCUCUUUUGAAUUCACGGAUGGUAAGGCUCACGCGCUUGGCCUUUACAGCCUGUCCACGGCCUGGAUGGAUAAAGCUCGUCCCGCCCUUAUCCCUAAACGGUCUGAUCAGUCUUGAGACCUUCUAUGUACUCUAGAGGCUUUACUCACCCAUCUCCUUCUUCCUUCAUGUUUCCUCAGAUGUACGGCCAAGCCCCUGUCCGUACAUAGGCCGUACUGUCCGUACUCUUUCCAUCACUUGCUUAGCUCUUCCUCUCCUUCUCAUAAUGACUUCCUCAUCUCAACACUCCCCCUCAGGCUUAGCUUUGUGAAAGCCUAAGCUUGGAUGGCUAUGAGAUCUUCCUCAUUAAAAACCUCACCAAGGAAAAACCCAUUGGGACAAAACCUUGAUGAAGGAAAAAGAGUAAAGACCUCACAGCCAAGAGGAUCAGCUCCUUCCCUUCCCAAGAUCAAUGAGGCCCAACCUGAUAUGAAUGGACUCCAUUGUCUUCUGUCUUGCAGCCUUGGUGAACACAUCAGCCAACUGAUCUUCACUCCUCGUGUAACAUGGCAAGAUGACUCCUAGAAUGAUCAUUUGCCUCACCUUGUGGCAAUCAACUUCAAUGUGCUUGGUUCUCUCAUGAAACACCGAGUUGGAUGCAAUGUGAAUGGCUGCUUGGUUAUCACAAUGCAUUGUCAUUGGCGUGGCUUGAUCAAUCUCCAAAUGCUUCAAGAUGCCUUUGAUCCAUACCAACUCGUUGGUAAGCUUCAGCAUAGCUCUAUACUCAGCUUCUGCACUUGAGCAAGAGACCACCUUCUGCUUCUUACUCUUCCAUGUCACCAAGUUGCCUCCAAUGAAUGUGCAAUAGCCUGUGGUUGAUCUCCUGUCUGCUCUAUCACCAGCCCAAUCUGCAUCACAGUAUCCAACCACUUCAGUGCUUCCAUUGCAACCCAUCCAUACUCCUUGAUCAGGUGAGCCGUUGAGAUACAUCAAGAUCCUCUCCACCAUGCGCCAAUGAUGCUCCUUAGGAACUUGCAUGUGUUGACUCACCUGAUUCACAGCAAAACAAAUGUCAGGUCUAGUUAUGGUAAGAUAAAUCAAUUUGCCAACUAGUUUUCUAUAGAGUUUAGGAUCCUGAUAAGGUUUGCUGUCUUCAAUCUCCCCCUCUCGUGGGACUUUGUAGCCAUCCUCCAUAGGCAUCCUUGCAGUCUUGCCUCCAUAAGCACCUGCACCUUUCAAAGGAUCAAGUGUAUACUUCCUGUGGGACAUGAAUAAACCUUCCUUGGAUCUACAUAUCUCAAUUCCAAGAAAGUAUUUCAUUUCUCCCAAAUCUUUAAUCUCAAACAUGGAUUUAAUGAACUCCUUGGUUGCUAUGAUACCUUCCUUAUCACUUCCUGUGAUAAUGAUAUCAUCAACAUACACAAGAAGUGCAAUCAUACCUGAGGGAGUUGUGAGUGUGAAGAGAGUGUGGUCUAGUUCAGACUUCUUGAAGCCUCGGCCAU